rnacentral:rRNA from 1 species
UACGGAGGGAGCUAGCGUUGUUCGGAAUUACUGGGCGUAAAGCGCACGUAGGCGGCUUUGUAAGUCAGAGGUGAAAGCCUGGAGCUCAACUCCAGAACUGCCUUUGAGACUGCAUCGCUUGAAUCCAGGAGAGGUGAGUGGAACUCCGAGUGUAGAGGUGAAAUUCGUAGAUAUUCGGAAGAACACCAGUGGCGAAGGCGGCUCACUGGGCUGGUAUUGACGCUGAGGUGCGAAAGCGUGGGGAGCAAACAGG